rnacentral:rRNA from 1 species
AGGCAUAUGGCGGGUCCGCCUAUAGCAUGCAGUCGAGCGGACAGAAGGGAGCUUGCUCCCGGAUGUUAGCGGCGGACGGGUGAGUAACACGUGGGUAACCUGCCUGUAAGACUGGGAUAACUCCGGGAAACCGGAGCUAAUACCGGAUAGUUCCUUGAACCGCAGGGUUCAAGGAUGAAAGACGGUUUCGGCUGUCACUUACAGAUGGACCCGCGGCGCAUUAGCUAGUUGGUGGGGUAAUGGCUCACCAAGGCGACAAUGCGUAGCCAACCUGAGAGGGUGAUCGGCCACACUGGGACUGAGACACGGCCCAGACUCCUACGGGAGGCAGCAGUAGGGAAUCUUCCGCAAUGGACGAAAGUCUGACGGAGCAACGCCGCGUGAGUGAUGAAGGUUUUCGGAUCGUAAAGCUCUGUUGUUAGGGAAGAACAAGUGCGAGAGUAACUGCUCGCACCUUGACGGUACCUAACCAGAAAGCCACGGCUAACUACGUGCCAGCAGCCGCGGUAAUACGUAGGUGGCAAGCGUUGUCCGGAAUUAUUGGGCGUAAGGGCUCGCAGGCGGUUUCUUAAGUCUGAUGUGAAAGCCCCCGGCUCACCGGGGAGGGUCAUUGGAAACUGGGAAACUUGAGUGCAGAAGAGGAGAGUGGAAUUCCACGUGUAGCGUGAAAUGCGUAGAGAUGUGGAGGAACACCAGUGGCGAAAGCGACUCUCUGUCUGUAACUGACGCUAGGAGCGAAAGCGUGGGGAGCGAACAGGAUUAGAUACCCUGGUAGUCCACGCCCUAACGAUGAGUGCUAAGUGUUAGGGGGUUUCCGCCCCUUAGUGCUGCAGCUAACGCAUUAAGCACUCCGCCUGGGGAGUACGGUCGCAAGACUGAAACUCAAAGGAAUUGACGGGGGCCCGCA